rnacentral:rRNA from 1 species
CUCUUUCGGCCGGGACGAUAUCGACCGUGCCAGUAGAAGAUGCUGCUGACAACUCCGUGCGAGCAGGCGCCGUCUUACUACGUGCCCGCGGCCUCGUCAAUACUACUGGGGCUAGCGUUUGUCGAAAUUACUGGGCGUAUCGGGUGCGAAAGCGGCCUGGCUCAGCCGGGAGUGUGCGCCCCAGACUGAACUUGUGAAUUGCGUUUGAAACUGGUGGACUUGCGUGUGUGAGAGGGAAAUGGAAUUCCAUGUGGAGGAACUGCAAUGCGUGAAGAUGGGUAGGAGCACCGAUGGUGAGC